rnacentral:rRNA from 1 species
GAUGAACGCUGGCGGCGUGCCUAAUACAUGCAAGUCGAGCGAACAGACGAGGAGCUUGCUCCUCUGACGUUAGCGGCGGACGGGUGAGUAACACGUGGAUAACCUACCUAUAAGACUGGGAUAACUGCGGGAAACCGGAGCUAAUACCGGAUAAUAUAUUGAACCGCAUGGUGCAAUAGUGAAAGACGGUUUUGCUGUCACUGAUAGAUGGAUCCGCGCCGCAUUAGCUAGUUGGUAAGGUAACGGCUUACCAAGGCAACGAUGCGUAGCCGACCUGAGAGGGGGAUCUGCCACACUGGAACUGAGACACGGUCCAGACUCCUACGGGAGGCAGCAGUAGGGAAUCUUGCGCAAUGGGCGAAAGCCUGACGUAGCACCGCCGCGUGAGUGAUGAAGUUCUUCUGAUCGUAUAACUCUGUUAUUAUGGAAGAACAAAUGUGUAAGUAACUAUGCACGUCUUGACGGUACCUAAUCAGAAAGCCACGGCUAACUACGUG